UCGGAGCCAAAGAAACUCCUCAAGUUUGAAGCCACAGGAUUGCAAACCCUAUAACUAGAAUAGGCACUAACUGCUCAAGAAACAUCAGCUAUCGAACCAUUACAUUCAGCUACUUAGCCUUCUUAGCCUUAUUAAUUCUCACUUUAGAAAUCCUCAACUAAAAGGGAAGGCACCUUUGAACUUGCUGCUUUCAAAGAUAAAGGCAAACGAGUUGUCGAAGAGGUAGAAAUCAUCCCUGAGCCAUUUACUUCAUAGCUUGGAGCCAGCGAAAUCACAAAAGAAAUAGGAGAAGCCCCGGGAGAACCAACUGACGUGUGAGAUUAAACUGCUCACCAAAACAGGGAGAGCAUACGAGCGCAUCAUCAAGACAGGAGGAGCAACCAACUAUUAUCUCAUGAUCCCAAAUUAGAUUAUGACACACUAUGGGUAGAAGAUCUUUUGUGUAAUCAUGUCCUAUCUUACCAAAGAUUAUCUAAGUGUAUAUCUCUAAAGCGUUGUAGCAAAACAUCUUAAGGAGAUUCUAUUUUUAAAUUA